rnacentral:rRNA from 1 species
CCUACGGGAGGCAGCAGUGAGGAAUAUUGGUCAAUGGCCGGAAGGCUGAACCAGCCAUGCCGCGUGAAGGUCAGUGCCCUAUGGGCGUUAAACUUCUUUUGUGCGGGAGCAAUAAUGGUCACGUGUGGCCAGACGAGAGUACCGUACGAAUAAGCAUCGGCUAACUCCGUGCCAGCAGCCGCGGUAAUACGGGGGAUGCAAGCGUUAUCCGGAUUUAUUGGGUUUAAAGGGUGCGUAGGCUGUGAGGUAAGUCAGCGGUGAAAUGCCCCCGCUCAACGGGGUGAAGUGCCAUUGAUACUGCCAUGCUGGAAUGCGAAUGAGGUGGGAGGAAUGUGUGGUGUAGCGGUGAAAUGCAUAGAUAUCACACAGAACACCGAUUGCGAAGGCAUCUCACGAAUCCGCGAUUGACGCUGAUGCACGAAAGCGUGGGUAUCAAACAGGAUUAGAUACCCGGGUAGUC